rnacentral:lncRNA from 1 species
AAGAAGCCCACCCUUCACCAAAGCCCACCCUUCACAAACUGAACUCAGAGUUUCAGCUUUGGAGAUGGAAUUCAUGAAGUUGAUGGAAUCUGGAAUCCCCUGGGUGACACACCUCUCUGUGUGUGUCCUUGGGCAAUCUCAAGAGAGUGUUAACUGAAGAAAGAAGACCUGCAUGAAUGGAGGAGCCAUCAUCUCAUGUGAUGGAGGAUCUGAAGCUGAAUGAGAAGAACAGAGGAGAAAGCAAGCUGAAGGCAAAAUUCUUUUUCUUCUGCUUCCUGACUGUACAUACUAUGUAUCCAGUGGCUGUACCUUUCUGUCCUC